rnacentral:lncRNA from 1 species
CAUUAUUUGACUAUUUAGCAGAAUCCAUGGAGUUGUCUUACUAAAAUACACACUAUGACAGUUUAUUCACUUCUGGAAUAAGUGUGUGAACAACUCCCCAUCUUGUAACACUUAAUGUCAAGACUUUCAGUUCCCUUUCCUACACACUGGGGCUUGUGUGUCAGUCAAAGGAAGGGAAAGAUCACGAGUUACAACAGAACACAGAGACUGUAGAAGGGAGACUAGUCUCUCUUUGUCUAGUAGUCAGAGAACCACAGUCUAGAACCAGAACCAGAGCCUAGCUGGGUUGUGAUGUGGACCCAAGGGGAAGACACCAACGCUGCAACCUCUGGUGGAGAAAGCAGUUGCUCCUCUGAAGAUGAAGGAGACAUUCAGUGUGAGAUUCUGGAGAAGCAGAGGGAUGAAGCCAAUCAGAAGCUAUCUGAGAUGGAGGAAGGUGAGCUGCACCAAUCAAUAUCCUUAUAGUGUAUGCAGAAAGUAUUCAGACCCUUUAAUUUCUCCACAUUUUGUUACGCUACAGCCUUAUUCUAAAAUUGAUUAAAUUAAUGUUUUUCGGACCUCCCGGGUGGCGCAGUGGGCUAGCUGUGCCACCAGACUCUGGGUUUGCGCCCAGGUUCUGUCGCAGCCGGCCGUGACCGGGAGGUCCAUGGGGCGACGCACAAUUGGCCUCG